ensembl:lncRNA
CAGCAGAAGGUUGAGGUGUAGCCUAGCCUACCUUUGUCUUUAUAGCGAGUGGAGAAGAUGGAAGGCUUGAGAACAUAGCAUAUAGCAGAACAGUACCUGAGAGAGCGGUGUGCUGAAAACCCCUGCUCCAGUUGGUGAUGUGCUGCCAAGGGCUGUUGGCUGGGUUCAGCAUCCAGGAGAGCUUCCUCCCAUAAGAGCACAGCCAAGUGUAAUACAGCUCCCAGAGAAUUAAUUAUGGAGACAUUCCUGGCUUCUGAAGCUUAACUGGGCAAAUGCAUCAUCAGAUCUUGUCCACUGCUUGAAUUAUGGGAUUAUAGAUGAAUCUUUUGCGUCCAUAAAGAAAUUAGUUUCCAUUGGUUCUCUUAGAGGUGAGCAUUACAGAGCAGAAGACUUCCCCAGUGCAUACACUGCAUGCAGCUUGGAAAGGUUUGGAAAAUGUUGUGUCUGUGUAGUAACUAGACCAUAAACCAUUUAGUGAUUCCUUCUAAAACAAAGUCUGCUUCACUCCUAGACCCAUAUAAAUCUCUGGAUACUUACAUGAACAGCUUUCCUUUUACUUAUGAUAGGAGUGGUGGUUUAGAACAGGGUUGGCAGAUAGGCAGAGAAUUUGAGAAUGCCCAGAUCUGCCGUACAGACAGUAAAAGUGAUGUACUGUGAGAUGCAGGGACUUAAAUCUGUUUUUAUGUGAGAUGCUGAAAUGAUUCUAAAAAGCUGUCGUUACCAGUUUGUCUGACCUAGAGCUAAAGGUGUGUUCAAAAAUGAAUCAAACCACCCUGAGCUUUGGGGGAAUAGCAGAUGUGAAGUGUUGCAUGGUUCAUAAGCUAUUCGUUUCCCAGAUAUUGAAUAAAUGAAUGAGG